UACAGAGGGUGCGAGCGUUAAUCGGAAUUACUGGGCGUAAAGCGUGCGUAGACGGCUAUCUAAGUCGGGUGUGAAAGCCCCGGGCUCAACCUGGGAAUUGCAUUCGAGACUGAAUAGCUAGGGUACGGUAGAGGGAAGUGGAAUUUCCGGUGUAGCGGUGAAAUGCGUAGAUAUCGGAAGGAACAUCAGUGGCGAAAGCGACUUCCUGGACCAG
rnacentral:rRNA from 1 species